UACGAAGGGGGCUAGCGUUGCUCGGAAUCACUGGGCGUAAAGCGCACGUAGGCGGAUUGCUAAGUCAGGGGUGAAAUCCUGGGAGCUCAACUCCAGAACUGCCUUUGAUACUGGCGAUCUCGAGUUCGGGAGAGGUGAGUGGAACUGCGAGUGUAGAGGUGAAAUUCGUAGAUAUUCGCAAGAACACCAGUGGCGAAGGCGGACUCACUGGCCCGGAGUAACUGACGCUGACGGUGCGAAAGCG
rnacentral:rRNA from 1 species